rnacentral:lncRNA from 1 species
UACACAGACACACAAUACAAACACAGACAUAAACACACACAAGGCAAACACAGACAGACAAGACACAGACACACACAACACACACACAACAUAAACACACACACAGAAGGCAUACACAAGACACACAACACACACACACAGGCACACACAAAGACACACAAGACACAAAAACACACACACAAGGCACACACAAAGACACACAAAACACACACAAGGCACACACACAGACACAGAAGGCACACACACACACAGACACAAGGCAGACACACAAGACACACACACGUACACACAUACUUGCAUGCACAUGAGCCCCCUACUUGUUAUUCUUUUUCCAUGUUACCUUUUUUCCUCUUUUUUGUUUUUCCUUCUAUUUCAGCUGCAACAUCAUCGUCUGUCCCACAGACAGCCCUAUUGCGGGUUUCCUGUUUCCUGUUUUGUGCAAUAUGCAUCUUGGGGCACUAUCAACCUUUGUUGUCCUUAGAAAACACUAUUUUUUUUUCUUUUUAAUUAAACUUUUGCUGGCACCAGAUACCUGUUGGUAUGUGUCUGUUUUCCAGAGCCCGGCUCGUCAAGCCAUUUCUCUGUGGUGCCCGUUUAAGUAGCAUACCUGACUGGACUGGAAGAUUUAUGUUGCUCUUCACCGGAUGGGAGAGGCAUUCCAGAGGGCUCCCUUUGGUUCAUUUCCUGUUUUUCAUGUCUUUUCAAAGAAAUUUACCACAGAGAUCAUGCCACUGGACAGAAAUAUCCAGAGUGGAGGACAAUAAUUCACGGGCUUUAAAUUUAUUUUUCCAAAGGCUUUGCCCUGAGCCCCAGGCACCGAGGCACUGAGAUACUGUUUUGACAUUCCUGGAAACGCGCAUAGCCAUAGGUCAGAAGUUAGGAGAUCCCUGCGCUAGACUCCGCCCUCUCUGGGUCAUGGCCUCUUCUCACCUCUCUGGCAACAGUGGGAAGGGACUAGUAGCCCUAGCAUUUUACCACAGCCCUCAGGGGAAGAGUACCUUUUCUUUCGGAUGCUCUGAGACACCUGCUUAUCAGCAGCAGUGGGUUGUGGUGAAACAGAUUAAUCUUCACCAGGGUUGAGUAAAGAGAAAAACAAAACAGUUUUGUCAUGAGUCAGGUCCCCUUUCACCGCUCAGUUCUGAGUGUCUGGUGUCUGUAGCGAGCCCCGGUGGCGGCAGACACCUUCCCGGUUGGUUUCUGUUGUAGGACUUCUCACCAGGGGACUCUCCUCCUGGGACACCGCCAGCCUCCCCACUGUCCUCCGCCUGGCACGCCUUCCCAGAGGAGGACUCCGACUCUCCACAGUUCCGAAGACGGGCUCACACAUUCAGCCAUCCACCUUCAAGUUCAAGGAGGAAGCUGAACUUGCAAGAUGGCAAGGCCCACGGCCUACGGUCCCCUCUACUGAGGCAGAGCUCCAGCGAACAAUGCAGGUAGGUCCUGGCCUGUCCCCUACUAUGGGACAGCAAAGUUUAAUGUCAUUCUGUUUGGGUCACUUUGGAGUCAGGGUGGAUUGUAUUUCAUGCUUUCACCAGACGUUAGGGUUCAGGGAAGUAAGGGGUGCAGUUCUCUCAGUUAAGGGAAGAUGGCUGAGGUUACGAUAUUCCCUGAGAACGUCCUAUCAUUUCAAAGGGAAGCUUUCUAAUUUUUUUCUCCAGAAAUAAUAGCGAAAACAUGGCAUUUGAUCGUUUUGUCCCCCAACCCCCAAAACGCCCUGGCACAUAUUACAUUCUGUCUCUUCAGUGCUGGCUCCGAGGGAGUCACGCAGCAUCAAUGUCCAGCUUACAGCUCCUUGUCAGUCUGGAGUCACAUACUAGGUUGAGGCAGAUGCCCAAGCUCCCUUCACACAGGAGAGAACAUUUGGCAGUGUUUUACUAUAUAGCAAACUAAAGUGAAGUAUGACAACUACUACACGUUUUAUCAUUUUAUCUAAAAUGAUAUCUAUGAAAUUAUAUAUAUAUUAACAAAAAUUAUUUGUCGUCAGGUAUGACGGGUUAAAGGUAAAACAUGGAGCUUUUUCCUCUUCAGCUCAGAUCCAUGUUUUACUGCUGUCUUUCUCCCCCCUUUUCUCUCCAUGUCUUUCAUGUGGACAGAGAGAUUGACUGUCCAUGUUAGUCAGAGACAUAAAUAAAACCGUCUGAAGACAAAAACGUCAGAUAAAAAGGCCAAUUUUGCUAUGAAGCGUUAUCAGAUUUACUUUUCUGUUUUUUUUUUUUUAAAUCAUGUUUUCCUCUCAUGAUACGGCCUUCACUGCUAUUUUCUGAUUGAUUUGAAUUCCAGAAACCAAGUAGGUUAUAAAACACAGAGGUUACCAAAAUAAAGAAAAUCAAAGCAGUGAAUUGUCUUCAGAACCUGUGUGUGUAAGAAGGAGAUUAAGUGGUUCAUAUGCGAACCAAGAUUUUAUACACAAUCUGAUUUUUACUCUAUUGAUUUUUACCUAAGACAACAAAUCUCUUCACCCCCAAGAGCAAACUAUUAUCAAGAAUAAACGGUGUCAGUCAGUUUGAAAGACAAAUGGUGUCUCUUCUAGUUCUUCCCUGACUUCCAAAAGUCGUAUCCUAUACUUUCAAAUACUUUCGAUCAUCAUGAGUAUAAAAAGGUACCACAUUUUGUUAUUUAGGUGCGUUCUGUGCUGAAAACCCGUUGUUUAUUAACAGAGCCUUGCGGGGGAUCUAGGGCUUUGGAUUAACAGUGCCUCAAGUCUACAUAGGAAAUAACACAAUUAUAAUGUUGGAUAAGCCAGAGAUAUUGUGUGUGGAGACUGACAUCUGCCAAACACGCAAUUCACCAAUAUGUAGAAGGGGUUUGUAUCUUUAGAAUAGUUAAUCUUUGUAUUAUUCAUUAUCAGUUUAUCCUCAGGUAAAUUGUCUUCCUGUAACUAUUUGUGCUUUCCUACCCCGACCCUUGACGUAUCUUCUGCAUGUAAGCAGAUGUUUUGUCCCCAAAGUGUUAAGAGAUACAACGUGUGAAGGGGGAAACUUCAGUUUAGCCACUGAGCAGAGGACUGCCUGCUCUUCUCUGUAAGUUCUGUGCAAGCGCUAGCUCGCAGCCCUUCAAGGAAAGAGUAACUUAGUAGCAAGAAGAUAUCUCUGUGCUUUUUCUUAGUAAGUGUCGAUUCUGCUGAAAUGUGGAUUGUAAGAGAUCUAUCUCUGCUGUGUUUUCUGUACUCAGCAUUGUCCCGUCAGCCCGGCGCAUGUACAAGGAGAGUAAUUCUUCCUGCAGCCUUCCAAGCCUUCACACAUCCUUCUCUGCCCCUUCCUUCACUGCUCCCUCUUUCCUGAAAAGCUUUUAUCAGAAUUCAGGUAGACUGUCCCCACAGUAUGAAAAUGAAAUCAGGUGAGACCGGUGUGCUGUUUGCCAAGUGCCAUUUUGCUCCGGUGAUACAUUGAUAAUGCUACUAAAAAACAAAAAACAAACAAACAAAAAAGUGGCCGGUUAAUUUCAGAGUGAAACCCGUGUGUUUGUGUGCUUGUUCUAACCUGCUUCUAAUGCUCGGAGUUCAAUUCCCAUUAAUCUUAUU